CAGCAGCGAAUUGGCAUGUUGGGGCUAAGUCGGGAGCCGUGCAAUUGGCUUCUAUGAGCAGCCUGUCGGGAGUGGGUGGAAUGCUCAACCAUGUGCAUAAAUCAUAAAAAUUAUUAUUUUAUGAAUUGCGAAAUGCAAAAAAAAAAUAAAAAUAUACUUAAUGCGAAAGAGAAAGAGCCCAAUGGCAAGUGCCCAGAGAGAGAGAGAGAAAGAGAGAGAGAGAGUGCACGCAUAGCUAAUUCGAGGAGUAGCUUGUGGCUGAACCUAUGAGGUACGAGGGGGCAGCGGUGUCGCAUUAGCGUAUGGAAUGAAUCAGAGAGUCGGGACUGCAUUUCCACACGUAAAUGACUCACGUGGCUAUUAGAACUCAAGAGUAUGAAUACAGUCAAAUGCCGCUCAUCACUGCUAAUUUGAAACAAGAGAAACGGAUCGUCAGCUGAUAAGCUUGCUUCCCAUUCCCCAUUCAAGUUUUGCGCUGAGCAAGAUUUAUCAGAAGGCCGAUAGCCGUAAAAAGACACAAAACAGACGCAAACAGAGAACAAGCAGAAAACUGAGAGAGACCGAGCGAAAGAGAGAUCAACAUAUGGUACAAACGUACCAAAACAUGUAUAUAAGUUAUUCACUAAGAAUGUACCAUUGAGUGUUCUUUAACAAAUUGGCUCAUUAUUUUCCACCUAUAUUUUUUUGAGCCAAUUUUAAUGUUGACUUUUUCCUAAAC